GCCGAGGUGGCGAAACUGGCAGACGCACCAGCUUGAGGGGCUGGAGGGCAGCAAAUGCCCGUGCGGGUUCGAGUCCCGCCCUCGGCA
rnacentral:tRNA from 1 species